GUAGGGGGCUAGCGUUGUCCGGAUUUAUUGGGCGUAAAGAGCGCGUAGGCGGCUAGGUAAGUCCGACGUGAAAUCUGGAGGCUCAACCUCCAGCGGUCGUUGGAAACUACUUGGCUAGAGUCCGGAAGAGGAGAGUGGAAUUCCUGGUGUAGCGGUGAAAUGCGCAGAUAUCAGGAAGAACACCGAUGGCGAAAGCAGCUCUCUGGGACGGUACUGACGCUGAGGCGCGAAAGCGUGGGGAGCGAACAGGAUUAGAUACCCUGGUAGUCCACGCCGUAAACGAUGGGUGCUAGGUGUGAGCGGUGUCGACUCCGCUCGUGCCGAAGCUAACGCAUUAAGCACCCCGCCUGGGGAGUACGGCCGCAAGGCUAAA
rnacentral:rRNA from 1 species